rnacentral:tRNA from 3 species
CCGACCUUAGCUCAGUUGGUAGAGCGGAGGACUGUAGUAAUCGCAGAUAAAUCCUUAGGUCGCUGGUUCGAAUCCGGCAGGUCGGA